rnacentral:sRNA from 1 species
CAUCCCCAUCUAUCAUUUUCAGAGACAAAAAAGUGUUGUUUUUCAGGAACAAAGGUUUUAUGCAAUUUAAAAGGUUGAAGGAUUCUUUACAUAUUGCCUAGAAAAAACACUGCUUCCAUAUAUAUCUCCAAUUAUUUCAUAUCCGAUCGAGCUGUCUCCAUGUUUCUGAAGAUAAGCAGAAGAGGUCAUUACGGAUACCAAAUGUUGAAUGGUGAUAGAUGAAAAAGCUGACAGAGAAUCUAAUUUUAUGGGCUAAGAUUUCAUGCGGAAUCUGACCACAAAAUUCUUCCGAAUGAUCCAUCUUUGCCUGUAAAACUGUCUAGCUCAGGUGCUUAAAUGUGUAUAGACGGGAUGAACUGACAGAGUUGCAGAUCAAUGGCAUUGGUCUUGAGACAUUGGACUACAAGGGACACAUAUAAAAUUCUCAUUUCAUUGAGUCCCACAUCUAAAAACUGCAUUUAUCCACUUCACCAAUAUGACAGUUGGAGACAAUGCUCCUUGUUCUACCAAUAAGUAUAGGUUUCCUAUUGAUCUUCUACAGAGUGAGACAUUGUACUUAAACUACUUCUUCGACUGGAAGGUCAACGCUUGAAAACAUCUUUCUUGUAGUUUCACAUAAUUGAACUCACUUCCUUUUUCAUAUUUGAUUCGGUAUGUGUUUUCCAUUUCUGACUUGAUUUCACAGCUUGGGUUGAUUCUGGGGAGGUUACCAACACAUUAUGAUCCUAGAAAUUUAUUGAUCUUAAAAGUUUUCAUACCCCAACUUGACCUUUUGUGGAUAGCAGAUGUUCUCAAGGUUUGUCCAUUGAUGCAAAAGUUGGAAUUACAUGUAAGAUUUGCCAUCAGCUUGCCUUUGUUAGCGCAGUUGUUAAUUUCUGCGUCCUUAUUUACUAUAAGUUGAUCUGUAGUGUUAAAAAGGGAUAAGGCAUUGUUUCAUCAAACAUAACCUUUUGUGCAAGUUGGAUUCAUUCAUUUAGAUGUAGUUCAGACCAUAUUCAAAAAGUUGUUUAGAAAACUGUGUAAGAUUAGGCCUACGAAAGCUGUAGUUCUGAACCCGUUUCUUAGUAGUUAUUGAUCUCAGUAGCUAUUCUAAGCUUAACAUUCAAUAUUAGUGAGCAUUACAAGAGUCAAGCAGUAACAGUUUGCCAUGCAGUCAUUAAUGCAGAAAAACAGAAGAGAAGAGAAGAACAAAACAGUAAUAGAAGGCAACUGAACCAGAUAUUGCAUUAACUGAAACAUAUAUACAAUGAUAGUUAAGUGAACAACAUUAAGAAACAUAACUUUGAAUCUGCAUUACUUUCACUAAGCAGAGCCUAGAUAUCAAAUCUAAACAUGCAUUGGAGCAUGUCUGACGCUAACCAAGACAGUUGGAAAACCGUCAGAAUACAAAACAGCAAAGCAUGAUCAUAUUGACAUGUGAUGAGGCUUGCAGGGUCUUCAAUGCAAGUCCCAAUUCAACAGAUAUGACCAAUGUAAAAGUUUGAGUUAUCAGCAAAUUGGAUGAUCAUUCUAUAUAGGAACAAAGUUUUGGAGAAACAAAUUAUGGAAUCUUCAAAUCUAAGAUCCAUACUCACUACAAGUCCUAGCUAGCCUCUAUUGGGUUAUUUUCUGAAAUGAUAAGAAUGUAGCCAAUUUAUGGAGGCAUUCAGGUUUUGAACAAGUAAUGUCUCAUCCUUCCUUGACUAUUCUAUUUUGGAAUGCGUUGCAGCUAUGACACUGUGAUUAUAUUGAUAGAAAUAGAGAAAUAAACCGGUUUCCAGCUGCCCUCAUGAUCAUCUCAAGGAAUUUCUUAUUACUGGUACAUAUGGUUACGUGACUGAGAUUGAGAUCGCUGUGUAUCUACUGAACAAUGCAAUAGUGCUUCAGAAGAUGGCGUUGGACCCAUGUAUCAGAUCUUAUAAUGGUCAUGGCACUAGCGAAGCUAGAGAAGCUUGUGCCAGAUGGGCUGCAAUGGGAAGGCAGAGGGUCUUUGAGCAUCUGAUGAGCAUCUGAUAGGUGAAGUUCAUCCCAGUGUAGAGCUGCUGCUUCUGUGAAUACCAAUAGGUGAGAUUCUGUGUUCAUAGAUUCUGGUUAAUUACUCAAUUCUCAAUUUGAAAGCAUAGACGUGUAAAAUGAAAGUUACUAUAAUGUACUAGUUAAUAUCAAGUGUCAAAGCCGAUGAAUUUUUCAGCCAAUAAUAUUUCCUCUUGUAUGACUUCCGAAAAAAAAUGCAAAUAGCCUGGUAUAAGAUACUGCAUCCUGUGACUACUCUGAGAUGAGCAACUAAACACUCAAAGGCUUGGAGAGCAACCGUUCCUGAUUUUUUGAAAUGUGAUAGGAGUUAUUGAUCAAAAGCUGAAGACUAGUAAGACUACCCGCCUUGUCUUUCUAAUCAGUGUCAGGUGUCAGCAAGACUUCCUCCAAACACUAGCAGAAGGGUAGAGUCAACCUGACCAAGGGUCAAUACGAGGCCAAAUGAACUCCAUGUGACAGUUGAUUCAUUUCUCUUUCUUGUUACUCACAUAACAAAAAGCAAUAGUAUUUUUAUGAACGCUCGAUAUGUUCUGAAAGCAGUUUGAAUUCUGGCA